AUCGAUACGGGUUGUGGGAGCAAGAGCCCGGAGAUGGAUUCUGAGACACGAAUCCAGGCCCUACGGGGCGCAGCAGGCGCGAAAACUUUACAAUGCGGGAAACCGUGAUAGGGGAACUCCGAGUGCCCGUAAAAUCGGGCUGUCCACCAGUUUAAAUAACUGGUGAAGAAAGGGCCGGGCAAGACCGGUGCCAGCCGCCGCGGUAAUACCGGCGGCUCGAGUGGUGGCCACUAUUACUGGGCUUAAAGCGUUCGUAGCUGGUUUGUUAAGUCUCUGGGGAAAUCUUCCGGCUCAACCGGAAGGCGUCUCAGGGAUACUGGCAGACUAGGGACCGGGAGAGGUGAGGGGUACUCCAGGGGUAGGAGUGAAAUCCUGUAAUCCUUGGGGGACCACCUGUGGCGAAGGCGCCUCACCAGAACGGCUCCGACAGUGAGGGACGAAAGCUGGGGGAGCAAACCGGAUUAGAUACCCGGGUAGUCCCAGCUGUAAACAAUGCGCGUUAGGUG
rnacentral:rRNA from 1 species